rnacentral:rRNA from 1 species
GUGGGGAAUAUUGCGCAAUGGGGGAAACCCUGACGCAGCGACGCCGUGUGAGGGAAGAAGGCUUUCGGGUCGUAAACCUCUGUCAGAAAGGAAGAACCUCCCAAGUCCGAAUAGGGCUUGGGACUGACGGUACUUUCAAAGGAAGCACCGGCUAACUCCGUGCCAGCAGCCGCGGUAAUACGGAGGGUGCAAGCGUUAAUCGGAAUCACUGGGCGUAAAGCGCGCGUAGGCCGCUUUGUAAGUCGGACGUGAAAGCCCUCGGCUCAACCGGGGAACUGCGGUCGAUACUGCGAGGCUUGAGUCCUGGAGAGGGUGGCGGAAUUCCGGGUGUAGGAGUGAAAUCCGUAGAUAGCCGGAGGAACACCGGUGGCGAAGGCGGCCACCUGGACAGGUACUGACGCUGAGGCGCGAAAGCGUGGGGAGCAAACAGGAUUAGAAACCCCAGUAGUCC